rnacentral:rRNA from 1 species
CAGGCGUCGAGUGGCGGACGGGUGAGUAAUAUAUAGGGAUCUGCCUAAUAGUGGGGGACAACGUGUGGAAACGCACGCUAAUACCGCAUACGCUCUACGGAGGAAAGUGGGGGAUCUUCGGACCUCAUGCUAUUAGAUGAACCUAUAUCGGAUUAGCUAGUUGGUAAGGUAAUGGCUUACCAAGGCGACGAUCCGUAGCUGGUUUGAGAGAAUGAUCAGCCACACUGGGACUGAGACACGGCCCAGACUCC